rnacentral:tRNA from 1 species
UGGAUCGUAGCUUAAUCCGGUAAAAGCACUCCCCUGAUAAGGGAGAGACUCUCGGUUCGAAUCCGGGCGGUCCUA